AGGUACAACAGAUGAGCAAAUAAUAACUACCUUUGUAUAUGGAUGUCACGGUGGAAGAACUGCUGUCAUCGGACAUCUAGGAAACAAGGAUGAAACUCUGGCUGAAUAUGAUUCUUUGGCAAAUCGUCUAUUGAGCCAAAUUGCACAACUCAUAGAAUCGAACAGUUUGACAAUAUCCGGGAUCAGAUUAUUAUCCAACGAAAAGAAACUCCUUUGGGAGCAACUUGUACCUAAGCGAAAAGUCAGAGAAAAUCAGAGCAGUUCUACUGGUAAGAUAAACAUUGAUUUUUCCAUUACAUUAUGAAGGAAA